GCGUGUGCGGGCUAAACGAAAGCGUCCAGUAUUUUUGUAAUGUAGUUGGCGCAAGAAACUGGAGUUGAAGUAAACUUCAGAGCUAGAUGGUUAGCUGUCUGUCUAAAUACCCACAUCUUCUUCCACAUGUAGCUAACAUUAGGAGCUUGGAAGGGGCUGAGAAAAUGGCUUCAAGUCCCAGAUCAUCUCUUCCAGAGGAAGAUUUCACCUGCCCUGUGUGCUGUGACGUCUUCAAGAAUCCUGUCCUCCUACCAUGGAGCAGCCACAGCUACUUGUAAAGUCCCUCUGCAGCAAUGCUGGGAGUUGAAGGGGGUUCGGGAAUGCUCCGUUUGCAGAAAUAUAUUUUCAAUGGGUAAUCCUCCCUGUAACCUGGCUCUAUAGAACCUGUGUGAGGUCUACCCUGAGGAGAGUCAAAAGUGCUCUGCAUGGUGAGAAAUUCAAGUACUAUUGUCUGGAGGAUAAGCAGCCCAUCUGUUUAGUGUGUCAAUCUUCUAGAAAACACAAGAGUCAUGACCGCUGCCCCAUAGACGAAGCUGUUCAGGGCCUCAAGGAGAAGGUACAACGACGUAAAGACAUGCGUUUUACAGAGUCACGUUUUUAUUGAACAUAAUACAUUUUCUAUGUGAGGUGUUUAAAUACUGUAUACAGAUUAUUAGAUUAUUAUACCGUAAAAUAAGGUGUUCUUUCGUUUCAGGGUGAACACCAGAGAGCACUAAAACCCUUACAGGAGAUGCUAAAGUAUUUCAAAGAAGCUACAGACAUCUGUACUUCCACAAUGCCUCACAUUCAGUAGGACGAAGUUGAGUUUAAUAUAAGAGAAAGCAGCAAUAAUGUAUUAGAUCAAUAUUUAAUUAUGUUUGCAUUUGGUUGCCAAAUGUUUGAUAGAGAUGGCUAAAUUAUAACUUUUCACAGCGAGACUCUGCAGUAGGACUGAUUCAUUCACUACUGUACCGAUGGCCUGCUAAAAUCAGACCAGAGUCCGUCAACCAGACCAGGGAAUUGGUUUUCUGGAUGAAAUGUGAGAAUUCCAGUAACGUAAUGUAAUAACAGUUCUCCCACUGUCUCCAGAGAUAAUUCCAAGACGCAGAGAUCGAGAUCAAGCAUGAAUUCAAGGAGUUUCCGCAGUUUCUUAGAGAUGAAGAGAAGGCCAGGUUUGACACACUGCGGCAGGAACAGUUUGCGAAGACUUCAGCAAUGGUUAAUAGGAUUGACCAGUUGAGACAAGAGAUGUCAUCAAUUGUAAACACAAUUGAAGCUUAUAGAGGAUGAGCUAUGAGAUUACGACACCUCAUUCCUUCAGGACAAUAAUGGAAAGAGCCCAGUGCACACUGCCUGAUCCAGAUACACAGCUGGUCUCAGGAGCACUGAUUGACGUGGCGAAACAUCUGGGCAAUCUGCAGUUCAAAGCUUGGGAGAAGAUGCAGAGGAAUGGGAUUGUCACUUAGAGUUUGUAUCCAUUUUUUAAAUCUUAGUAAAUACUGGUGGUGGACACCAAUAUUGAUAAUUAGAUAUGAUAUUGAUAUGACCGAGGCAUAUCGUGAUAGGUUUAUUAUUCCUGUUAACCUGACCUGGCCCAAUGGGCAAUCCGCAAGCAGCUGUCUGGACUUCACAGAGCUGUGGAAGUGAACAGAAAAGUGAAAAUGUUAUAUAGGGCUGUUAAUGUUAAUAACCUGUUAAAGAGUGACAUGUUAUUUUGCCACUAUUUUUUUUU